GCCAGACUGCACGUCCAAGAAUCCUUCAGACGGAGUCGGUGGGGCUGCUCAUAUGCAACAGUCUGUCUCCACUGAAAACGUUGUCACAUCCAUAAAGCCACAGGGAUAUGUCUCAGUUCUGACAAGACAAUGGAUGCAGGCGACCUCUUCCCUCCCACUUCCCCAAACAAAAUUUGAUCAGAAAUAAUUUGACUGAUUUCUAGUGCAACCAGAAAGUGGCAGAUGAGGGAAAAGCCUUCCCUUCACUGAAAACUUCAGCUAGCACAAAGCCUGAUUCCAGCUCUAGGUUUCAAGGCAAUGAUCAAAUGUGGGCCGAGCAAACGACUUGUCAGAAGAUUUUGUGCCCAUCAGCCAAUAUACCAAUGCAAUGCUGGUCUCGCUCUCUGCUUUUGGAUUUUCUUCAGGGAAUUAGAGGAGAGAGCCUCUCUGAGUCUCAUGCAGAAGAGCCUUUCUUAGCUGCAACCCUUAUAGGAGAAGAAACAUAUAUUUGAUGCUCUGAAACUUUCACCUGGAUGUCAAUGAUCUGGUUCAGUGCAGCGUGACGCUAGCCUUACGCUGCUUUGAUUUUGUUGAACUUGCAGCUGCAGAUUGGUGCAAUAUGUGCACACAGACUGAAAGCAAUGGCAAGCCAGGUCCUGUGAGGUUUGCCCAUCUACAGGUUCCAUGACUGUCUGGAAACAGAUGAGCAUGACUUCAGGAGGAGGCCUUCUGCAGCUUACAGUCUCUGUCCCUUUGUUUUUGGAGCCUCACGUAGAGGAAAAUGGAUCCCAGACUCCAGCUGGGACACAUCCCAAGCUCACUCUUGCGCCAAGGAAACAGUGGGCAGCUUGGAGGGGAGCUGCCAAAUUCAAACCAUGUCUUGAGCUCUCUGUACAUCCAAGAUGAGCUCUCACAAGACUAGGUUUCAUGCCACCUGCAUCAGGACCUUCUGCUUCCAACCAGGCUGGACAACCUGAGGGACAGCUGUCUGGGACUUUUGGAGCCUCCACUUCCCAUCCUGGCAAGGGGACAUGGGUGGAGGGACAGAUUUGCUGGAAGAAAAAGGAGGCAAGUGACUGAAUGGAGAGGAGGGUGGCUGAGGUUAACUGCUUUCUCAUGUCGGUCCCCUGGAUCUUCUUGUCAGUGCGAUAACAGCUGGAUCUCCCAGGAAGGUCCUGGCUGUGUAUACAAUGAAUCAAAUCUUGUCACUUCCACGUAAACACUAUUUUUCAUGUGGUGGUACUCUUGGGCAUUGCUUUUUGUCCCCUUAUGAGCAGGCAAGACUCUCUGCUGCUCCAGAAGGCCUCAGAGAGCACCAGCCAAGAGUUUGUCUUGUCUUGUCUGGCAGCGUGAUGAAAUGGACUUUUCCAGUAUGUUUCAUCUGGAUUUGAUGAUUUUAUGCCUGGAGUUCAACUUUCAUUCACUUAACUCGCCAUGAUUAACACUGAGAGUGAGGUCCUGGACUCCUGGAAGUCAGCAGAAGUUUUCAUGCUGCCUUUGUGGCAACAAGCAUUUAUCUCAGAUUCCCUCUUCUGGAAGGAAUAGCUGGAAAACAAACAUGCAUUGAUGGGAAUUGCCAAGUACCUGGACCCAACUUGUAGCCUAUCUGGCCUUGAAUCCUGUCUGUAGUCACACUGACUAUUUGGAGGAAGAUGCAGAUAUUGCUGGAAUGGAUGAUUACAACCAACCUGCAAACAAACUUGUCCACUGCUUCCUUGAGAGCUCUGUCUCAGCUUUUGUUUCAAGCAGUAGCUCUAGUAAUUUCAGCAGGGGAGGUACAGUAACUGAUGCUUAACAAUUAAUUUUUUUUUUUGUUUCACCUGUCAAGCUUUGCUGGCCAAUUUUGCUUUACAAAAUCUGUAAGUAGGGAACAUUGGUGUUUUCUUUUGUACUGGAGAUAUGAAGGAAUUAAAGGAUUCGCGACUGUAAAGCCUUCAUGAAUAAUUUAGGCUCUGUUUCCAACAAAUAUUCGCUCUGCUACAUACGCACUGGUACUGGGCUCAGACAUUUGUGGUAUCAGCAACAGUGCCGAACCCCCGUGAGCCAAAAGGAAAUGGGCUUUUAUUCACUGUCAGCCGUCAAUCUGUUUCCAAUCUUCAGGACAUACUCUUGUCAAUUAGGGACUUCUGCUUGAGAAACCUGGCCUGUUAGCUUGCAACAAAAAUAGAUAGGCCCAGGCACCUUACAUUUACAACCUCCCCUACAAUACAUUGUGCAGCCCAGCCAACCUUGCUCCUCUUACUGCUCUGCUUCAUGUUUCUCUUGUGAAUAAAUAUUGCUGUACAUACUUAGGCCAAUGUACACAGUCACUCAGCUUCUCCUGCUAAAAUGAUUGACCUACCUGAGACAGAAAUGGCAAGAGUCUUCUCAAGCAAACCAGUCAGUGAGUUUCUCUGGGUCUUGGCCGGAUGGUUUUAAGGGAGCUUCUUGGCAUUAUUAAGAUUGAUGAAAGCCUGGAAAUGUAUAGUUGAGAGGUAGCCUGCAUCAGGCUUUCUUAGUCCUGCCACUGAUGCAAGUGUAAGACCUUUAGGCAAGGAUUUUUCCUAUCACCUUUUAGGGUUUUUUGGAUUUGGGUUUUUUUUUUUGGUUGGUUGGUUGGUUUUGUUUUUGUUUUUUUU